CAGGCUUAACACAUGCAAGUCGAGGGGCAUCAGGAAGAAAGCUUGCUUUCUUUGCUGGCGACCGGCGCACGGGUGAGUAACACGUAUCCAACCUGCCGAUGACUCGGGGAUAGCCUUUCGAAAGAAAGAUUAAUACCCGAUGGUAUAUCUGAAAGGCAUCUUUCAGCUAUUAAAGAAUUUCGGUCAUUGAUGGGGAUGCGUUCCAUUAGGUUGUUGGCGGGGUAACGGCCCACCAAGCCAUCGAUGGAUAGGGGUUCUGAGAGGAAGGUCCCCCACAUUGGAACUGAGACACGGUCCAAACUCCUACGGGAGGCAGCAGUGAGGAAUAUUGGUCAAUGGACGAGAGUCUGAACCAGCCAAGUAGCGUGAAGGAUGACUGCCCUAUGGGUUGUAAACUUCUUUUAUACGGGAAUAAAGUUGGGCACGUGUGCCUUUUUGUAUGUACCGUAUGAAUAAGGAUCGGCUAACUCCGUGCCAGCAGCCGCGGUAAUACGGAGGAUCCGAGCGUUAUCCGGAUUUAUUGGGUUUAAAGGGAGCGUAGGCGGAUGCUUAAGUCAGUUGUGAAAGUUUGCGGCUCA
rnacentral:rRNA from 1 species